GACAGAGCUUGAUCAAAAGAAAUGAUUUUGUUUUGCAUUGCAUGGGUUCUUUGCGUACUUUCGAUUUGUGAUAUGAACAUUUUGGUAACAUUUUGCUGAGGAAAAACUGAAGAAAAUUCUACGAAUGAAAAUGUCAAAUAUAGAGAUCCAAGCCGAGCAACUUCUUUAUAUGUUUGUCAACUUUCUAGGCAUAAUGCUUUUCUGUUUAGUUGUAUGGUACCACGUUCCCCAAAGGCCCAGAAGACUGAGUGCAACAAAAUAUCAAGACAAAAGAUCUGAGGAAAUGAGGAAGUCUGGUCGAAUUAAAAGGAAAACAUAAUGGAAUAUGGUUCCAAGUAACGGAUGGCAUUUCUAAUACCAAGCAGCUAUUGUAAAACAAAGUUGGGAAUAUAACAAACAAACUGAAAAGUAUUAAAUAAGAGAAUAAUAAAAGAUGUUCUUAAAAUUUU